GGGGGUGUUCUGGUUUUGACAUCAGAUUAAUUGGUCGGCAAGCGUGCAGAGCGUUGGAAGAAGAGCUCUUUAAACUUCAACUUUCAGCCAUUAGUUGGCAACAACAAUUAUGCACUCGCUGCGUAAUCUGCCAAGCAGACGCGCUUAAUCCUUGAGGGUCAAGGACCUUCGGACGAGUAUCCCGCCCUGCUUUCCGUUCUCUUGGGCAAGGCAUACGGGGUAUCAUCUAAAGAGAAAUGCCGGAGCCUACUCCUUUAAAGUUCCGAAAGAUGAAAAGGAUAAGCUGAAGCUUUGCCCGCUCCGGGGCGGAACUUCAGACGAAAACCAAACCGGAGAUACGCACGUAGAAAACCGAUUGGUGGUUUGAUUGGACAGCGGUU
rnacentral:tmRNA from 1 species